UACGAGUGAUUAGGAUUAUUAUUAUUUUAUUUACAUGUAAAUUGAAACAAUAAAUAUUGUACUGUGUCAUAAUUUAAAACUCAUUAUGUUGCAGUCUUUUCCAGUUGAUAAAAUUGCAAUUCAAAACUCAAUGUUAAUUGCAAAAACUUUUAGAUUUGCACUGUAUGGAUGGCACAGGAAGAGAAUGAGAGUACAAGAACAUGAAACAUCUUAUUAUGAAUGUAUAUGUAUGUGAUCCUCAAAAAAUUAUUAGAAAGAGAGCUUUAAAAUCCCAAGGAUCCUGCAAAAUGUUUAUUUGGUGUACUAGCAGAAUAAUAGUAUCUAAAAAUAUUGAAACCGAUUGUUGUGCAGUAACAUAUUUUAAAACACAUUACGGGCAUGAUGAUGAUAUAGAGCACUUACAUAAAUACCAAAAUCAGAUAAAUAUCUCUUCAAAGUUUAUUUUGAGACUUUCUUCAAAAAUUAAACUUCAGACUGUUCAGGAUAGCAUAAUAGCAUAGGAGGCGAAUUAAAAAGAAUUAAUUUACUUACAAGAAAAGAUAUCACAAACAUUAAACUCUCUUAUGGCAUUGACUUGAAAGAUGGAUAUAUGUACAAUGAUGAUGCAACCAGUGUUUAUUUUUGGGUUGAAUGCUUACAGACUCAUGUCCAAUAUUAUUUUACAAACAACAGGGCAUACUAAUGGAUAUUCAUUCUGAAUUUAAUAUUUAUGAUUUUUGUCUUAUUUUCCUUAAUGCUGUGCCAAAAGGAAAUGUUAAUUAAGUUUGGUAAAUCCUUUAUCACAAUCGAUGGAACUCAUGGGCUCAAAUCCUAUGACUUUGAACUUAUGACAGUAUUAGUAAAAGAUGAAUUUGGGAAUGGAUUUUGUACUGCUUUCUUAUUUUCAAAUAGAAAAGAUACCUACUUUUAUUUACCAAUUUUUUUAAAUACAUGUCUGUGUUGGUAUUAUAUGUAUAGUAGGGUGGAGUGAAAAUAAAACAAAAUUUUUUUUUUCUCAAAUUUUUUCGCCUGUAUGCGGAAAAGUGGUCUCACGUGUAGUGUAAGUAGCUUGCAAAAAAUGAAUUUGAUGGGAUAAUUUUUUCCGGUGCCCCAAGCCACCUAAAAAUUAAGAUAACGUGAAAAUAAAACAAAAAUUUUUUUUUCUCAAAUUUUUUCGCCUGUAUGUGGAAAAGUGGUCUCACGUGUAGUGUAAGUAGCUUGCAAAAAAUGAAUUUGAUGCGAUAAUUUUU